AUACGGAGGGUGCAAGCGUUAUCCGGAAUCAUUGGGUUUAAAGGGUCCGUAGGCGGACUAUUAAGUCAGAGGUGAAAUCCCACAGCUCAACUGUGGAACUGCCUUUGAUACUGGUAGUCUUGAGUUAUAUGGAAGUAGAUAGAAUGUGUAGUGUAGCGGUGAAAUGCAUAGAUAUUACACAGAAUACCGAUUGCGAAGGCAGUCUACUACGUAUAUACUGACGCUAAGGGACGAAAGCGAGGGGAGCGAACAGGAUUAGAAACCCCAGUAGUCC
rnacentral:rRNA from 1 species